UAGCGUAGGGGGCUAGCGUUGUCCGGAAUCAUUGGGCGUAAAGAGCGUGUAGGCGGUCCGGUAAGUCCGUUGUGAAAGUCAGGGGCUCAACCCUUGAAUGCCGGCGGAUACUGUCGGGCUAGAGUCCGGAAGAGGCAAGUGGAAUUCCCGGUGUAGCGGUGAAAUGCGCAGAUAUCGGGAGGAACACCUAUGGGCGAAGGCAGCUUGCUGGGACGGUACUGACGCUGAGA
rnacentral:rRNA from 1 species